AGGCCAGUAGUUCAAUGGUAGAGCGUCGGUCUCCAAAACCGAAUGUUGUAGGUUCGAGUCCUAUCUGGCCUGCCA
rnacentral:tRNA from 3 species